ensembl:lncRNA
AACAGUUGUAACAGACAAGGAACGUCACAAAGCCUACUUCAGCACGCAAGCCCGGGCCCCUACCCAGUCAGGUACCCUGAUGCGUGCACCUUCAGGACUUUACCUCAUGUUUUAGGAAACGGACUCUAGAAGGUUUCCAAGGCCUCUACUGGAAGAUGUGUAGGCACUGAGACCACGCAAAUGGCAGUGAGUUAGGCAAGCGCCCCUUUAAAGGCCCGAACAUUAACUGGGCUGCUUUUCCCCUGUGAGGAAAUGCAGAGUUUGAGGAGCAUACCUUACAUCUGUUUGUAGGCACUGAGAGUUGGGGGCGCGGGGAGAUCUGUCUGUCUGUUUGCUUGCUUUUGUUUUGUUUUGCUUUCGACACAGGGUUUCUCUAUGUCGACUUGGCCGCCCUGGAACUCAUUCUGUAGCCCAGGUUGGUCUCGAACUCAAAAAAGAGAUCCGCCUGCCGCCACCACCUAGCUGUUUGUAGACAUUUACAUAACUACUCGUUUCGAGAGAUGACUUCUUCAGUAAAGAGCUCGCGAUGCAAGCAUGAGGGCUUGAGUUGGAUCCCCAGAACAAAGGUAAUAGCUGAAAGUGGCUACUUAGUAAUCUAUGGCUGUGGCCGAGACAGAGCCUCCCUGUGGCUCCCUAGACAGCCAUCUUAGCGUUAAUUAAUGAGUGUCUUUGUCCCAAAAAUCUAGGUGGAUGACAUCUUAGGGGUGGAACAAUACCUGAUUUCCUCUGGCCUCCAUGUCCACAUGUGCAUGUAUGCACCCGCGCGCACGCGCGCGCACACACACACACACACACACUCACUGUGUUAGGGUUCUCUAAAGCAGUGGUUCUUAACCUGUGGGUGGCUACCCCGGGCGGGGGGCAUCGCAUAUUAGAUUAUUUACACUACAACUCUUAACAGUCGCAAACUUAGUUAUGAAGUAACAAAAUAAUUUUUAUGCUCUGCCACGGCGGGAGCAAUCCCUACUCUGAAACCAAAGCUUUUGGGCCUUCAGCACUCAGGUCUCAGGAAUAAGGAGCAGAGAGUUUCCUGCUGAGUCACUAGGGGUGAUGGAGAGUGGAUUCACUCCUUUUCCAUCCCUUAAUUCCUGGAUCUGUGGGUCCCAGCUAUGGGACAAACUGCCAUGUAUGGAUAUUGAUUCAAACAUACGUUGGGGAUUUAGCUCAGUGGUAGAGCGCUGCUUGCCUAGCAAGCGCAAGACCCUGGGUUUGGUCCCCAACUCAAAAAAAAAAAAAAAAAAAAAAAAAAACAUACUCCCUUCUGGAGAACCCUCCCCAGCCCUCCAGGCGGCUGCCACCUAGCCAGCACUGUGACGGUGUCUUCAAAGAGCCAGUGCACUCAAAACAGGAUGUGUGCUUUAGGAACAUGCUAGACUAGUGGGGCCCAUGAGCGUGGUGGGCCCCCUGUUGCACUUCUCUGCCUGAGAAGUGGGUGUCUUGAUCUGAAGCAGUGACCCUGGACAUGGCAUUCUCUAAGUCCGUCAUGGUUUUGGCAGAAGCAUUAUGUGCAGGAAAGGCAAAUCCAUGACUAAGGUAACCUCCUCCAGAAGGACAAAGUGUCCUUUCCAUGAAGAAUGGGGUUGUGUGGUGCAGUCAAUCUGCAGCUUGGUGCACGGUGACUCCAGAGAAUGGUGCUAUACGAGGGGACUCAGUGUUGGCCUCUGCUGCUGACAGAUCUGGCACUCGGCAGUAGCUACGUUAGCCAUAGUGAGUAGAAAUCUAUGUUGUCGAGCCCAGGCACAACCCCAUCCCAUCCCUGCUACAAUCUGACUUGGUGGGUCAGAUAAUAUCCAGUUCAUGACAGGCGGUCAUGGUAACUUAGUGGCCUAUUGCUAAACUUCAGUUUCCAGGAAUGCUUAGUAACAGGCCUGACACUCUUUCUUAAAGGAAAACAGUAGUCUGCAGAUGAUGGGAGAGCCUUGCUCCAAAAUCCCAAAGGUCUCCACUGUGAUCUACCUCCUGUAGCCUGCCAAAGGCUCCCAACAACAUCUCUAUCACCCGCUACACCCCACAUACCCUGGGGUCUGCUGGAUCAAAUGUUUCUAAAGGUAGAACAGCUUGUACGGCGGCCUGGACCUGUGAGUUUUCUUGUUCCAGGGCCCACACAAAGCUAGCAGCUUUCUGAGUCACGUGGUAUAGGGGCCAGAGUAACACACACAUGAGGAAUGUGCUGCUUCCAGAAUCCAAAGAGGCCCCCUGAAGGUUGCACUUCUCUCUUGGUGGGAGGGGGCCAGGUGCAGUAACUUACCCUUCACCGUGGGAGCAGUAUCUCUGUAUGCUCCACACCCCGACUCCUAGAGAUUUUACUGAGGUAGAAGGCCCUUGGAUUUGGAUUGGAUUUAUUUCCUAUUUUGUUUUUAAAGAAUUGUUUAUGUAUAUGAGUACACUGUAGCUGUCCUCAGGCACACCAGAAGAGGGCAUUGGAUCUCAUUACAGAUGGUUGUGAGCCACCAUGUGGUUGCUGCUCAGGACCUCUGGAAGAGCAGUCAGUGCUCUUAAUCACUGAGCCAUCUCUCCAGCCCCCUGUUUCCCAUAUAUUUUAAUGGUUGCUACCUCCGAUCACUUGAUCCAAUCAGUAUAAUGUCAUCAAUAUAGUGGACCAAUGUGACAUUUUAUGGAAGAGACAGGUAAUAAAGAUCCCUUUGGGGAAUGGAGAGUUGGCUCAAAGGAGGACUUGUUGCUUUUGCAGAGAACCUGUGUUUGUUCUGUGUGUGGGACUCCAAAAGAGAGUGUUGGAUCCUGUGAUAGUUUGCAUAUGCUUGACCCAGGGAAUAGCACUAUUAGAAGAUGAAGAUGUAGAACUCUCAGCUCCUCCUGCACCAUGGCUGUCUGGACACUGCCAUGCUCCUGCCUUGAUAAUGAACUGAGCCUCUGAACCUGUAAGCCAGCCCCAAUUAAAUGUUGUCCUUAUAAGAGUUGCUUGGUCAUGGUAUCUGUUCACAGCAGUAAAACCCUAACUAAGACAGAUCCCCUGGACCUAAAAUUACAGGAGUGUUUGUGUCUGUGUGUAUACUUACAGAUAUAUGGGCACAAACUUCCAUACCAGUACAUGGGGUGGGAAUUAAACCUGGGUCCUCUGAAAGAGUACUCUCUCAAAACUAGCCUGCAACUCAGUGUCGACAUGUUCUGGUCCACACAACAAAGUUAUAGACCACCAUUAAGUACAAGGGCAAAUAAGAGUCCUUGUUCUAAUUCAAGCCAGCAACUGAGAGCAGGCUCCUGCCACAGAGAACUACUCUUAGCCCACAAGUUGGGAAAGGUAGGGUUUAUAAAGCCAAACCACAACUACAUCAUACCGGUAUGGGCCAAGAGGUCUUUUUCCUUUUUGUUCCUUCUGUUGUUUUUGUUUUGUUUUGUUAUCUAAUUAAUUAUUUCAGGGUCUUUCCCCCAUAAUCCUGGUUUGUAGCACAAACCAGCAGUACAACUUCUAGGGCAGGUAUCUUAGCUUUCUUUUGCUGUGAUACACACUUUGACCAAAAGCAGUUUGGGGUGGAAGCUGUAUUGGCUUACACAUCCAUUUCCUAGUUCUUCAUCCAGUAAAUUGCCAUAGGAACUUAAAGCAGAAGCCUAGAGGCAAGAACUGAAGAAAAGGCCUUGGGCCUUUGCUCCCUAUAGCUUGCUAACCUGGUUUCUUAAAACAUUCCAGAAUUACCUGCCCAGGGGUGACACCACCCACAGGGAGCUGACCCUCCCGCAUCAAUUACACAUAAAGGAAAUGAACUGUAGACUUGCCUCCAGGCCAAUAUCCGGGUGGUUUCUUGAGUUCCUCUCACAGUUGACUAGCUUGUGUCAAGUUGACCUAAAAGUAUCCAGGAGGCCUAGGGAAGGGUUGGUUACAAAGAACCCCAGGACAACUAAAGAAAUUGAGUGAGCUAGGGCUCUGAGUUUGGCAAUUGUGUUUGGACAACCUGGAGAAACCAGUUCUCUUUUAACUAUGUGGGCUCUGGGGAUUGGACUCAGGUCAUUUGGUUGCAAACACCUUUACAAGCUGAGCCUUCUCACCGGGCCCUGUUUAGAAGUCUUCAGCACCGUGCGUCUACCCUCUUCGCAAUGGAGUUUUGCAGCUGAUGGUCAACUGGUAAGUUUUCACAUUGAUUUAUAAAAUGCCUACGUGAGUGUGGGACAUCAUAGUUAAGAUUCUCUGAAUCCCUUGUACUUAAGACAAAUACCAUGGAUAAUGGAAAUGGACUAACCAAAAAAAUAUCUAGUUACACAACUAGUGUAAAUUCAUACCUAAUAGCUGCUCAUUCAAUAUUCAGUCAGCUCCUAAUCAUGGUCACCUGCUGCUCCCAGCAGUUUAGAGCACUGACUCUUCUCCCAGAGGUCCUGAGUUCAAUCCCCAACACCCACAACCAUCCUAACUACCGUUCCAG